UAGACUUGACUGGCCGACUAAAGGACACGGUCACCAACACGCAGCAGAGCUCAGGCAAAGCACAAACCUUCCACGCAGCGACAGCCCUCCUGUAGCACCCGUGCAUACAUGUCCACUUUGGACUGGGAAAGGAGCUGGUCCCCGGUCAGUCACUUAACGGAGCUCACUUCUGCACCUUGGAAGGAGGACUACUAGAUACAACCCCAGCUGGGUGCCACAGGGGAACUUCGGGCCCAAGGAUUUUCCUCAAGGGCUGACCAACAGGGAAAGAGCAUCUCAUCUAAUACCAACAGGCAGUUGGAGAACUUCUGGACAGCUCCCUAAAUCAUAGGAGUGAGUAAUACAGCAGCACGUGUAAGCAUCAUGGAUUCUAAAUCUUAAACUCCUCUGAAAUGAAACAGAGCCUCUUGAAGACCAAAACAAAAUGCCUCUUUUCAUCAAAGGAAAACAAAACAAUACAGAACAGUCCAACUCAACUGUGAAAACGUACCUGAAACAUUUGUCUGACUUUUCUUCGGGGCAGAUUGACAUUUAACUUGUGCAUCAGUUGGUGUAUCUCUUCAAUAUUCAAUAAGCCAUCACCGUUCUUAUCAGCCUCCUCAAAGGUCUGCUUCACCCACAUGAAGAAAGGUCAAGAAAAACACUUUUUUCAUCGAAAUAAAAACAGCUCUCUCACAGAAUACUCACAAAGAGGUUUACCACGAACAUGGGACUUGAGAAGAAAUUCUUUUGAGGAGGCCCUGCCUGCAACCACAGGCUCGUGAGCUGCCAGUAGUGACAACCACCGCCAGGGGAACGAGCACUUGUACGUCAUUCCCUUCACUUUGAAAUGAGUCAAACCGUGUUCUCCUGAGAGCUUCUUUAACCCACACGUUCUUAUCCAGUCCAUUAAGGAA